rnacentral:rRNA from 1 species
CCUACGGGCGGCUGCAGUGGGGAAUAUUGGACAAUGGGGGGAACCCUGAUCCAGCCAUGCCGCGUGUGUGAAGAAGGCCCUCGGGUUGUAAAGCACUUUCAGUGAGGAAGAACGCCUGGUGGUUAAUACCCAUCAGGAAAGACAUCACUCACAGAAGAAGCACCGGCUAACUCCGUGCCAGCAGCCGCGGUAAUACGGAGGGUGCGAGCGUUAAUCGGAAUUACUGGGCGUAAAGCGCGCGUAGGUGGCUUGAUAAGCCGGUUGUGAAAGCCCCGGGCUCAACCUGGGAACGGCAUCCGGAACUGUCAAGCUAGAGUGCAGGAGAGGAAGGUAGAAUUCCCGGUGUAGCGGUGAAAUGCGUAGAGAUCGGGAGGAAUACCAGUGGCGAAGGCGGUCUUCUGGACUGACACUGACACUGAGGUGCGAAAGCGUGGGUAGCAAACAGGAUUAGAUACCCCGGUAGUC